rnacentral:tRNA from 2 species
GGGCCGUUAGCUCAAUUGGCAGAGCAACUGACUCUUAAUCAGUAGGUUGAAGGUUCGAUUCCUUCACGGCUCA